GACCCAGUGGCCUCAUGGAUAAGGCAUCAGCCUCUAGAGCUGGGGAUUGUGGGUUGGAGUCCCAUCUGGGUUG
rnacentral:tRNA from 1 species